rnacentral:rRNA from 1 species
AUGGUAGGAUAGAGGCCUACCAUGGUGGUAACGGGUAACGGGUGUUAGGGCACGACACCGGAGAGGGAGCCUGAGAAACGGCUACCACAUCCAAGGAAGGCAGCAGGUGCGCAAAUUACCCAAUCCCAACACGGGGAGGUAGUGACAAUAAAUAACAAUACAGGGCUCUUUUGGGUCUUAUAAUUGGAAUGAGUACAAUUUAAAUCUCUUAACGAGGAACAAUUGGAGGGCAAGUCUGGUGCCAGCAGCCGCGGUAAUUCCAGCUCCAAUAGCGUAUAUUAAAGUUGUUGCAGUUAAAAAGCUUGUAGUUGAAUUUCGGGAUCAAUAUGUCGGUCGUGCCUUCGGUACGUACUGGUAUCAUUGGUCUCUCCUUUCUGACGAACCAUGAUGUCAUUAAUUUGGUGUUAUGGGGAGUUAGGACUGUUACUUUGAAAAAAUUAGAGUGUUUAAAGCAGGCUUUAGCUUGAAUACAUUAGCAUGGAAUAAUGAAAUAGGACGUUCGAACCUAUUUUGUUGGUUUCUAGGAUCAACGUAAUGAUUAAUAGGGAUAGUUGGGGCAUUAGUAUUCAAUUGUCAGAGGUGAAAUUCUUGGAUUUAUUGAAGACUAACUACUGCGAAAGCGUUUGCCAAGGAUGUUUUCAUUAAUCAAGAACGAAAGUUAGGGGAUCGAAGACGGUCAGAUACCGUCGUAGUCUUAACCAUAAACUAUGCCGACUAGGGAUCGGAUGGUGUUAAUUUUUUAAUGACUCAUUCGGCGCCUUACGGGAAACCAAAGUGUUUGGG